rnacentral:rRNA from 1 species
AUUGAACGCUGGCGGCAUGCCUUACACAUGCAAGUCGAACGGCAGCACGGGAGCAAUCCUGGUGGCGAGUGGCGAACGGGUGAGUAAUAUAUCGGAACGUGCCCAGUAGUGGGGGAUAACUGCUCGGAAGAGCAGCUAAUACCGCAUACGACCUGAGGGUGAAAGGGGGGGAUCGCAAGACCUCCCGCUAUUGGAGCGGCCGAUAUCAGAUUAGCUAGUUGGUGGGGUAAAGGCCUACCAAGGCAACGAUCUGUAGUUGGUCUGAGAGGACGACCAGCCACCCUGGGACUGAGACACGGCCCAGACUCCUACGGGAGGCAGCAGUGGGGAAUUCUGGACAAUGGGCGCAAGCCUGAUCCAGCAAUGCCGCGUGCAGGAAGAAGGCCUUCGGGUUGUAAACUGCUUUUGUCAGGGAAGAAAUCCUCUAGGUUAAUACCCUUGGGGGGAUGACGGUACCUGAAGAAUAAGCACCGGCUAACUACGUGCCAGCCGCCGCAGUAACAC